AUCCCAUGAUUAAGAAACUUACGAAGUAACUCUUUGAAUCACUCCCAAGCCUCAUACGAAGACUCAUCGUCCAAUUGUUGGAAAGUUGGGAUCUCGUUCCUUAACUU
rfam:Gossypium hirsutum cultivar TM-1 chromosome 2, whole genome shotgun sequence